rnacentral:tRNA from 1 species
GGCUUCAUAGCUCAGUUGGUAGAGCAUUGCACCGGUAACGCGGAGGUCAUGGGUUCAAAUCCCGUUGAAGCCC